rnacentral:rRNA from 1 species
AUUGAACGCUGGCGGCAGGCCUAACACAUGCAAGUCGAGCGAGCGGCGGACGGGUGAGUAAUGUAUGGGGACUGCCCGAUAGAGGGGGAUAACUACUGGAAACGGUGGCUAAUUCCGCAUACUAUCGGAUAACCCAUAUGGGAUUAGCUUGUAGGUGGGGUAAAGGGUCACCUGGGCGACGAUCUCUCGCUGGUCUGAGAGGAUGAUCGGCCACACUGGAACUGAAACACGGCCCAGACUCCUACGGAGGCAGCAGUGGGGAAUAUUGCACAAGUGGCGCAAGCCGGAUGCAGCAAUGCCGGGUGUAUGAAGAAGGCCUUAGGGUUGUAAAGUACUUUCAGCGGGGAGGCGUUACCCGCAGAAGAAGCACCGGCUAACUCCGUGCCAGCAGCCGCGGUAAUUC